rnacentral:rRNA from 1 species
UGGGGAAUAUUGCACAAUGGAGGGAACUCUGAUGCAGCCACGCCGCGUGAGUGAUGAAGGAAUUCGUUUCGUAAAACUCUGUUCUAUGGGAAGAAAAGGACUGUACCAUAGGAGAAAGCUCCGGCUAAAUACGUGCCAGCAGCCGCGGUAAUACGUAUGGAGCGAGCGUUGUCCGGAAUUAUUGGGCGUAAAGGGUGCGCAGGCGGCUUUACAAGUUGGAUGUGAAAUAUUGUGGCUCAACCACAAACGUGCAUCCAAAACUGCAAAGCUUGAGUUAAGGAGAGGUAAGUGGAAUUCCUGGUGUAGCGGUGGAAUGCGUAGAUAUCAGGAGGAAUACCGGUGGCGAAGGCGACUUACUGGACUUAAACUGACGCUCAGGCACGAAAGCGUGGGGAGCAAACAGG